UACGUAGGGUGCAAGCGUUAAUCGGAAUUACUGGGCGUAAAGCGUGCGCAGGCGGUUUUGUAAGUCUGUCGUGAAAAUCCCCGGGCUCAACCUGGGAAUUGCGAUGGAGACUGCAAGGCUAGAAUCUGGCAGAGGGGGGUAGAAUUCCACGUGUAGCAGUGAAAUGCGUAGAGAUGUGGAGGAACACCGAUGGCGAAGGCAGCCCCCUGGGUCAAGAUUGACGCUCAUGCGACGAAAGGCGUGGGGAGCAAACAAG
rnacentral:rRNA from 1 species